rnacentral:lncRNA from 1 species
GUGCCAAAAUGUUCCUCUAGCUUGGUGGGCUUGCAAAGUGACACAUCCAAUUGAGAUGCUUGGCAAGCUGCGUGUGGAAAGUUUUCACAUCUUGUCAUCCUUGUUUUAAGGAGUCUUCCCUGUCAGCACAGAAAAGGUAUGUGGAGACCAAAGCCAAGGGGCUGUUUUCCUGAGGGAAUUCACACUGAUUCGAAGAGAGAGCCUUCAUGAAGAUUUCCUGUCUGACUUCUUGAAUGGUCACAAAACUGAAGACCCGACUCUAUAUUGUGAUAACUGGACCAUGGGCUUCUGAGACUCUACUGUGCCUCUGGAUGGUAUUUGUACCCUUCUCAGUGUGGGCAAUACACAUCUGUACACCUCUCAAGACCAUGGUGGUGGAGCCUGAUUUUCUGAGCACUGCAUGUACCAGAAAAAUCUCACUGCUGCUGGCAGAGUCUGUCAUGUAGCACUCAGAAAUGUGUCAUGAGAAAUGAUCCCCAAUCUCAGUUGAGAAACAUCACAACAGAUGAAGAAGUAAGAAUAAGCAUGGCAGCUCAGACUCGAAUGGUUUGCAAAGGACAGAUACAAUCCUGUCAGCCCCAUGCUUGAGUUCUGGCUUUCAUCUCCACUGAUGUUUUUCAACACCAAAGAAACUUAUCAAGCUAUGAAGUAUUCACUCUGGAUAACUUCCUGAUUGAGUCCCUCUGAAAAUUCAUCUAUGUGCUAUAACUCAAGAGGUCAGUUUGUUACUGAAUGAUUGGACAGUUUAUCAGUGUUUUGAAGUUAGAGGAAAGAAAUUGAUUUCCCAAAAGGAGUGAAAUUUAGUCCAGAAGUGAAUUCAG